AUACUUACCUGGCAGGGAAGAUACCAUGAUCACGAAGGUGGUUUUCCAGGGCGAGGCUUAUCCAUUGCACUCCAGAUGUGCUGACCCCUGCGAUUUCCCCAAAUGUGGGAAACUCGACUGCAUAAUUUGUGGUAGUGGGGGACUGCGUUCGCCCUCUCCCCUG
rnacentral:snRNA from 1 species